rnacentral:rRNA from 1 species
GUCUAUGGCCAUGCCACCCUGAACAAACCCAAUCCCCUCUGAUCUCGGAAGCUAAGCAGGGUCAAGCCUGGUUAGUACUUGGGUGGGAGACCACCUAAGAAGACCAGGUGCCGUAGGCA